rnacentral:lncRNA from 1 species
ACUUUGUAUAGAUUUCGUCAGACUUCAGCCAUCAGUUUAGUAAUGAGCAUCUGAGAAGAUCCUUAGCAUCGCUUACGUGUGAGGUCAGUGUAUAGCUACUUUAACAGCCCACCUCCAAAUCUAAAAGCAUAUGUCAUAGGCAGAAAAGGAAAGAGCAUGCUCUAUUAUGUCUUGUAAAUUCUGUAGAAACCGAAGAAUACCGUGAGGAGCAAAUAUCUCUACAAAUAAAAUGGUCGACUGUCAAGACAAAAGAUGCCAUAAUCAUAAAUUAUCCAUCUAUGAUAGGGUUCUUACUCACAGAAUGCUCCCCUUGCUCACAUGCCCUUGAGUCCCAAAACAGGUUCUGAACAUUACCAUCUAGCAAGCUGGGGUAUAGAAUAAGCACUCUCUAUCUCAAUAUAGUAGAUACAAUUCAUAGGUCAUACGAGCGAACAUAGUUGAUACAGAAUAUAAUAACAUUAGUACGCACUCACAUCCUAUUCCCUUUUGUGCAUUUCCUCAGACAUCUUGCCUGCUAUAGAAAGCAUCACAUAUUUGUAGAAACAAAGAGAUUUGUUCUUUGGCAGUCACCACAAAAGAGAAAGCAACUCAUGUCUAGUCAAGGACCAAGCAAGUAUUGUUGAUAUAAAAUUCUGAACCAAGCAAGUGCCAUUGGUC